UGAGUAAGACAGAUGGUCGCGGCUGCAGAACCGAAAGGCUGCAGGUGAGGAAAGUCCGGGCUUCACAGGGCAGGAUGCCAGAUAACGUCUGGUGGAGGCGACUCCAAGGACAGUGCAACAGAAAUGUACCGCCCGGUUUACCGGGUAAGGGUGGAAGGGCAGUGUAAGAGACUACCGCCCGGCUGGUAACAGCCGGGGCACAUGUAAACCCCAUCCGAAGCAAGACCGAACAGAGAGCGCAAGGCGGCCCGUCUGCUCUCGGGUAGGUUGCUUGAGCCUGCUGGCGACAGCAGGACUAGAUAGAUGACCAUUCAACGACAUAACCCGGCUUACCGUUUUGCUCAAAUC
rnacentral:RNase_P_RNA from 5 species